GUGCUUGCUUGGGCAGCACGUAUACUAAAAUUAGAACAAUACAGAGAAGAUUAGCAUGGCCCCUGCAUGAGGAUGACAUACAAAUUCGUGAAACAUUCCAUAUUUUU
rnacentral:snRNA from 1 species